UUGUUUGUAUAAUAAUCUCCUAGCGCCGGUGACGCUAUUAAAAUAUCCCGGCAUGCUCGCGAACCAUGUGCCCCUGAUUGUUUUUGGUGUACAAAAUACUUUUGCUGUGUCUUCUCUUCUGUGUAUGUAGGUGUAUUUACCUGUAUGUAUCCCGAUCUGUGCCAGUUGGUCGCGUGUUUCCGGGUUCACCGUCUUUUUUUAGUUUCGUUAUUGCCGCUGCCAUGCUUCUGUUUGCUAAAUGGAAUACUUCGCAAAAUAUGUUCACAUUUUAUUGCUGAACUGGGGCAUAUUUCCAAAAAGCUCCCGUUAGUGACUUAGAUUCAGUUGCAAGGGUCCAACUGUGUAAGUCGCUAAGGUAAUCAGCAACUAUAAGUUUGGGAAACGUACCUCCGUCACAUUAUUUAUAUGAAUUAUACUAAUGAUUUUACUGCAUACGUUAAUAUUUUAAGAAAAAUACUAUUUUAAGAGUGAACUCUUUGAGACUGGGACCUGGGUACUUUAGAUGUUACUGUUUGCUGUCGUCAAGGACAAGCAGAACGGAGCCAGGGCACCAUAUGGCCAAGUUGGAGGUCUGCAGUCAGGGCGGGUGACGGAACGGUCCUUACGGAUGACACUGCAGUUGUGACCCACUGGGCCGGCAACUUUGAGCAGUUGUUUAAAGCUGACCCUUCAGGUAGGAUAUUGGAGAUCUCUGGGUCCACGGUUCUCAAAGCUGAUCCUCUGAUCAGCUAUGAAGCUCCUAAUCUCACUGAGAUUGCUCGGGUGGUGAAUCAGCUGGAGGUGGGGAAGGCUGCAGGGAUCUGUGGUAUCUGGGGUGAAAUUCUCCAGGCUGGUGGUAUGGCUGUCCUCCUGGCAUUGCAUGGUGGUUAGUUACUCAUGCUCUCUACUAUGAACACCUGUGUAAAAUAAUAAUUAAACUCAUUUACUAUAUCAAUUUCAUUUUCAAUUAUAAGGCCCUUACUAUCCUGCAAAUGAGUGAUUUCAGCUUUUAGAGCUUUUGGAGUUAAAAUAUUGGAUGAAUGUUUUAUUGUCAUCCUUAGCCUCCAAUGCAAUUUUUCUUUCUACAUUCCUCUUAGAGAGUCUAAUGUUUUUUAACUCAACCUGUAGACUUAAAUCAUUAGUUAAUUUCCAUUUGUGGAAGAGAGCCCUUUUGCUCAUGAUUUUAUUCUUAAUUUCCUUAGUAAACCACCUUGAUUGUAGGUUCCUAGAUUCAGUUUUGCUGGAAACAGGUAUGAAGUCCUCUUGCACUUGCAACAAUAUGCUUUUAAAAAAUUCCCAUGCCUCUUCAAUCGAUUUGCCAUUUAACUCCAUCAAAUUUACAAUUUCUAGUUUCAGUCUCAUACCAUUAAAGUUAGCCUUCCUAACAUUGUAUACUUUUGUUUAGAACAUUGAUCUUCGGACAGUAAAAUUAACUACCACUACUGUUCAAUGGUUCUAAAAUUUUCCAAUCCUAUCCUGGUUAUUAGAGAAAACAAGAUCAAGAAGGGCUUCUUCCCUGGUAGGGGUAUUAACAAACUGAGUAAAAAAACAAUCCUGUACUAAUUCCACCAUCUCAAGUUCAUUUACAGAGGAGCCAGAGACUGUGUCCCACUGUAUCCCAGGUGAAUUAAAAUCACCCAUAACCACCACAUCAUUUUUAUUACUCAUAAUCCUGAUAUCGUCAUAUAACAUUCUGCCUUCCUCUGCAGCUACAUUAGAUGCUCUAUAACAAACCCCGACAAUUAGGCUAUUUGAGUUUUUAGCAUCUAGUUUUAUUCAUACAACUUCUGUACUUUUAUUUUUAUCAGUGAGCUCCCUUGCCUACAAGUUUUCUUUUACGUAUGCUGCACCGGGGUUUAAUUUCAGGGAAAGCAAACAAAAUGCAGACUGACAAUACAAUGACAGGACCGGGGAAACAAAUGGAAAUGCGGACUAAAUACAUUGGACUAAUGACAAGCAUCAGAAACAGCUGGUAAACACGGGGAAUCCACACGGGGUUAAUGAGAGGGUGUGGCACACGGAAGGAGUGGACAAUCGGGGCAUUACAGGACCCCCCUCCAAAGGUGCAGUGCGAAGGACACAACAGCACAUGGGGAGACAAAAGCAACAGCAUCAAUGGUGCACAGGAAACAGCACUGACGCACAGAACUGGCACAAGGAGGACAACGCAAAUAAUAAGCUACAAACCACGGGGAACACAGACAAACACAAAGUCACCAAAGAUGGAAACACAGGACUGGGGAAUACUAAAGGGGACUAUGGAGGGCCCACACCAGGGCGGACACCCAUAGGAGGCACAAAGGGACCGGCAGGGAACAAAGACUCAGAGGACAGGAAGGGAACACAGGGGGCACAUAGGGACCGGCAGGGAACAAAGACACAGAGGGACAGGAAGGAAACACAGGGGGCACAUAGGGACCGGCAGGGAACAAAGACACAGAGAGACAGGAAGGAAACACAGGGGGCACAUAGGGACCGGCAGGGAACAAAGACACAGAGGGACAGGAAGGAAACAAAGGGAGAACAUUGGGACCGGCAGGGAACAAAGACACAGAGAGACACGAAGGAAACAAUGGGGGCACAUAGAAACUAGAGGGAAAUGAGGGUGAAGUAGGUUGGGGAGUGAACACAGGGGGCCAGAAACCAAAGGGCAAGGGGAGCUGGAGGGACCCUCAGCGGGCAUAAGGUGGGGGGCGCUGGAGCAGCAGGUGACCGCGAGGCUGGAACAGGGGCUGAAGGGGAUGUCGAGGCUGGUGAGGGGACAGGUAAAGGAGCUGGUGGAGAUGGUGAGGAGGGAGCCGAAGGGGACUGUGGCGGAGGGGAGGACAAAACUGUAGCCACGGCAGGCGGGGACACAGCUACAGUCGGUCCAGACACAAGUGACCGACUAGGCAUCGGAGACCGGGCUAAAAAUAUAUAAAUAUAAAUAGAUGGAGUACAUAUUAUAACAGACUACUAUAGAUGCCAGUAGGCCUUUCUCAACAUCCCCAACCUAAUAGAAACAGAGAGAGUUUGUUACAUUAAAUAAUGAAACAAUUAGCCCUGAAAGUGAUAUAUGUGAGUGGCACAACAGCGAACAAAUUCAAUGUUCUGUCAACGAUUGUAUAUGCUGGCUUCCUCUGAAUCCGUGCUACUGGUGCAUCAUCACAGAGUUAAUGACAGUAACAUAUAUGAAACAGUGAGAAGAUGUGAAUGCAAAUCGUUUCUCUUUUCCUUGGAUAUUUUUACUUUGACUACACCAGACAAAUUGAAGACUUGAAUAAAAUGUGGAAGAGGAUCCUACAAUUCUUUAGAGUUCAGUUGACAAAGUGGAGGAAGGCAGCGAGAGCUGUUAUGAAGGAAGCUUUGAAAAAGGACAGAGAUCUCACCAGUGGUCUAGCAGUAGUGCUUGUACUGUCACACUUCAGAGGCAGAGGAUGCCCUUUUCCUCCUUGCUAAUGUAAGUGCCCAAAGCCAUUCUGUUGUAUUUUUAGGUAUUUCAAUUCAUUGAUUGUAGGCCAUAUGACAGGACCAUAUUUGGAGAAAAGAAAGCCCAGUGGAAAACAGAUUAAAUUACUAUUAUUAUUGGUAGUAAUAUUAUUUAACCAUACAAACAAAAACAAAAGUUAUAUACUGGUUACAUGGGGUCAUUUCUUGUGUAUUUUAAUCUCUAUUACUUUUUUUCCUAUACUUUUCACAGUUGAUUAUUACUCCUGCUGAUGCAGAGAAGCAGUUGUCUCUCCUCAUCAGCCCAUGGCUAAUCAUGCUAGAUUAUACGUAUAACAGUGAAGAUAAAUUUCCAGCAUUGGCAAAGCAAAUUAGUUUAUUUCUGUAGCAGCUCCACUAAAAAUAAUAAAUGUUCAAAAAUAUGCCUGAAACGGGAUAGCAGAUGCAAUGUGCAGAUAAGGUCGUAGUGUUGUUACUAGCUUAAUGUUUCACUUAUUCUGCAGGAGACAGCAUCCUGAGUGCAUCAGAAUGGAUGUUGUCAUUUGAGGGGUAUGUUGCACAUUCAACUCCGGUGCCUGACUUCGCCACUGCCUUGGCUGUGCUCUUUGCCAGUUAUGUGUUCAGCAUUGAACAUCAGGUGAAAGCAGCCAGAACACUGGAAUACUGGAGGUUUCUAGUAAGGAUUAAUACUGAUUCCAGCAAGUAAAGUGGCAGUAUCAUUAGGAACCUAAAACUGGAAAACUGGUAAAAAAAAGAAGACAUUACAUAUGAACUCAUAUGCUCAUUAGGGACUUCACCGAGUUUGAUUGAGUGAUGACUCGACAUAAGUGAGUUUUACACCUUAGUUUUUAAUCUGACAGAGGUAAAACAUCCCAAAAGAGUCCAUGUAAAUGUUCAACAUCACAUUUUAUUAUUCAGGGACACAGAGGGGCAUGGUGGAUGUAACUGAGGAAAAUGUUGAGAUGAGGAGAUGCAAGCAGUUUUGUCACUUCUGCCAAUAAUGUGAAGACAUUAACAGCUUUGAAAAAAAGAAUUAUUCAGUGUUACACUGUUAGUCAAAACAAAUUUAUUAUUUUGGAAGGACACGGUCUAUGAAGGUGUAGCCUUUGCAGGCUGCGUUCUUCGAAGGUUGAAUUAUAAAUGUUGGGAAAUGGGAUGGUCUGGCCUAAGAAUAAUUUCUUAUUUACGUCACCAGCUGUUCCCGCCCAUGCCCUUGUGUCACGCAGCACCACUCCUAUCGCCUGGCCUGGGACACUCCCACUUUACCUCCAUGCUAUGAAUCUUGGGAUAGGUUGGGCUGGGAAGGUGCAGAAAAGGGAUGCAAUUCUAGACUGCAUUUGAAGGAGACUUGUAAUGUGUGCUAUUAAUAUUGACAUUGCAAGCUAUGCACAAACGAUUGUCAUAUCGCAGCUUGGUUGAGAUCAGGCUUUUGCCUACCUGCCUACUGUAUAUACGGUAUAAGGUAUUUUCAUAAACAACCUUAUUUUUCAAUACAAAAAUCUUGGUGAUGCAUUUGGUCUUUGUGCUGUUAAUAACAUUACAGUAUUAAAACACUGCAGUAUUUUUGUGUUACAAUCAUGUACUAUUAUAGUUACAAAUACAGUAGUUGAAGCCGUGGCCAGGUAAAUUGGUGGUGUAAAUCACUGAAUCUUGCUUUUAUGUCUUUCCCCAAAUAUGUAAAUUACAAAUAUGUAAAUGAACCUGCAGUAACAACUCUUAACCUCAUGAACUAAAGUUCUGAUAUACUGUGACUUUGGCACAUUCCAGGGGCAUCGGAAAGAGGGGGAAGGUGUCCGCCCUAAUAUCAGCAGAACCCCCCCCCCCCCCACCCUCAUUCUCAAUUGAUAAAUACAUACAGUACAUAAUCAACAGCAUGUUCCUUAUCUUUUAUUGUGAAUCUGUGUGUUACUGAGGCCAAUCAUUUUAUCCUGUUGAUCAGUUAUUUUUUUUAGUUAUGUUUGGUUAGGAAACUGUACCCUUAAUGAUGUUAUUUUAAAUUACCAGUAUGAUUUGACAGCAGUAAUGAUACUGUCACACCCCGCUUCGGUCCCUUCCGUUCUCUCUCCCUAGUGUGGCUCUAACGAAUCACACCAAUUAAUUAUUUGUCUUGCCUCUCAUUUCAGCCCUUGUGUGAUUCACUCCAGCUGCCUCUUGUCUGGGGCUGCGUGAUAUAUCGUUUCGGCAUCGUCAUCGCAAUGUACAUGUGCAAUAGUCACAUUGCAGAACGUGCAAUGUCAAGUAACGCAAAUUAAAUUAAGCAGUGUGGACAACGCUUUUAGUGUUUUUAUUCUUAAACAAUCUACAAAAGUUUGUCAAUCACUAACAUUCUUGAUCUCAGUGCUAACAACUUUCCUUAGUUUAAUGCUCAUGCUCUGUUUAGUACUGAUUAAGUUGUCAUUACCGUUAUAUUUGGACAAAAUCAGCUCAAUCUUUCUAGAAUUAUACCAAUAGAGCUAUUGAACUAAUUAGAUUUUUUUAAAUCCUAAUAUCGCAAUAUAUAUAUCGCAGAAAGAAUAAAUAAUGCAAUGUGAUUUUCUUCACAAUAUCGUGCAGCCCUACUCUUGUCUGCUCCCUCAUCAGUGGUGUUAUAAAGUGUCUCCCAGUCUUGUGCUCCCCAGACCAGUCACUGAUGCCAUCCUUGGCUUGUUUGUGAAUGCUGCUCCUGCCUGUUACCUGUUUCCUUUAUGUUUUCCAGUCCUUGGUUUUAAUCUCUCAUGAUCCUUUUGUUUUGCUCCUGCUCCCCAAUAAAGCCCCAUUAGGUUUUGCCCCAAA